AUGAUGUGAAAGAUACAUUUUGUUCCUGUAAUUUGUUUUCUAACUCUGCUAAAAGGUUGUAUUAGAUAUAUAGAAAAUGCGCAAGGGACUGGCAACACGACAGGAAUAACAAAAUUUAGGCAGGGUGGGUAAUGAAACAUUGAGUAUCACUGUUGAUUCAGGGAUCAGGUUUCAGAGAAGGUUUGUGCGUGUACCCAAACCAGCAAUCAAGUAUCUAUCCUCCUUCACGGUUCAGGUCUCCCAUGUGUAUGCCAUUGCUUUGCUUUCUAUUGGCUGACAGGCACUGAGGUUGUUCUGUGAAAUUUCCUGAGAAUUUUUUUU